UCCCUAGUGGCUUAGAUGGUAAAGUGUCUGCCUACUAUGCAGGAGAACCGGGUUGUAUACCUGGGUGGGGAA
rnacentral:tRNA from 1 species